GUAAUAACCCCUUCCCCUCAGACCUUAUUUCAGCCAGGCCUUGGCUAUCUCCCUGCGGCUGUGUCAGCAGCACGGAGCCACUCUGGACGCCCUCCCAUUUUGCCUGAGCAGAAACGUUCUGGGCUUUCCUUUCCCCUGGGAGCCUGGCUGGGGGGCUGUGGGGAGUUCCAUUGCUCUGUCUCUUCCUGCUUAGUCUCCUAGAGCUGCUAUAACAAAGCAUCACAAAGCGGGUGGCUUAAGCAACAGAUGCUUACUGUCUCAGGGUUCUGGAGGCCGGAAGUCCGAGAUCAAGGUGCCGGCAGGUUAAGCUGGUUUCUGCAGAACCAUUUCCUGAGCUAAACUGAGGCUUCCUCCAGGUGUGGUGUAUUCUAGAACUGCAUAUGCCUCAGAUGAGCGAACCGAGGCUCUGAGAAGUUAAGAGAAUUCUUCAGGCCGCACAUGUCUCACCCAGAAGCCCUGUGCCGAGGAAGCUGGGCUUUUCUGCCCCCACCCCCCCUUGGCGGGCAGAGGGCGAGUUGCGGGUGGUGGUGCAAACGUGGUCCAGCUCUUCUGCUCCAAACCCGAGCUUUAUCUCCCUGACCGUGCUGCCUCUUGGAGCCUUCUGGAGAGGAUCAUGCUGUGGAAAUGAGCAUCCGUCCAGACUUGGAGCCUGGGCUUCAAGGGCCUGCACGACCCUCCACCCGGCUUCCAGCCACCACCAUUCCUCAUGUCUUCCCCUCACCUGUCUCCAUGCUGCCGAGGGGACCUGCAGGCGAUUGACUUGCUUCUGUGCAUCCAGGCGGACCUUUGCCCACACCCCCAAUUCCCCUCUUCUCCCCACUUUCUUUUCCCCUGGAGUCAUUUAAAUGAAAGUAGAUGGAUCCUGGACAAUACAAGGGGUGAUUUUCUUUUACACACUUCCAUGUUUGGUCUACAAUAUUUGUCGUCGGUAUAGUCUCUUCAUUCGUUCAUUCAGUCGCUCCUUGAUCCAUCCUUUGGCAUUCACUUAUUGAGCUCCUAUUGCAUGCCAAGCAUUGUGCUAGAUCUGAAGGACUCCUGUCCUGAAUAGACAAUUGAGGAACUAGAAAUUUGUAGGGAUGGACCAAGUAUUUCUCCAGAACACACAAAUCCAGAGGACAGUCAAGGAUCAAACUGUUGAUGUGUUGAUAUGCUCAGGCCCCCGAAGAGCUGCAGGCACCCUAGUCCCCGCAAGCAUCCUUCCUCUGGUUCAAGAUGGAGUUGGCAGGGCUUGUAAUCCAUCAUCUUGCAUAUUCUGUGUGGCCUCCUCUCUUCCCGGGCACAGUGAGAUGUCCAAACUCUCCUCCAGAUCAGGUGCUGGCACUAACACGGCUGCCCCAGGAGUGCAAGGACUGCACCUUGCGGGGUGCUUCUCAUCAGCACCUUCAAGGGUCUGCUUCUCUGACCAGCUUUAGCUCUGGGCGCUGAGGCUGAGCCUCCAGAAUGACGCAAUGUCCCCUCAUGCACAGCAGACACCUGUGCAGUCAGGCCUCCUAGCCAGG
ensembl:lncRNA